AUGCAGGGGGUGCGAGCGUUAAUUGGAAUUACUGGGCGUAAAGAGUACGUAGGCGGUUGCUUAAGUCAGAUGUGAAAGCCCCGGGCUCAACCUGGGAACUGCAUUUGAAACUGAGUGACUAGAGUUUAAGAGAGGGGAGUAGAAUUCCGGGUGUAGCGGUGAAAUGCGUAGAGAUCCGGAGGAAUACCAGUGGCGAAGGCGGCUCCCUGGCUUAAAACUGACGCUGAGGUACGAAAGCGUGGGUAGCAAACAGGAUUAGAAACCCCGGUAGUCC
rnacentral:rRNA from 1 species